ensembl:snRNA U1 U1 spliceosomal RNA
ACAGAUACCUGAGUACUAACAGCGAGCCUUAUCCUUGUACCCUGGAGGUGCUGACUUCUGUGAUAUCUCUAAGUGUGGGAAACUCAACUCCAUAAUUUGUGACAGUGGGAGACUGCAUCAUGCUCUUCCCUG